rnacentral:rRNA from 1 species
GACGAACGCUGGCGGCGUGCUUAACACAUGCAAGUCGAACGGAAAGGCCCUGCUUUUGUGGGGUGCUCGAGUGGCGAACGGGUGAGUAACACGUGAGUAACCUGCCCUUGACUUUGGGAUAACUUCAGGAAACUGGGGCUAAUACCGGAUAGGAGCUCCUGCUGCAUGGUGGGGGUUGGAAAGUUUCGGCGGUUGGGGAUGGACUCGCGGCUUAUCAGCUUGUUGGUGGGGUAGUGGUUUACCAAGGCUUUGACGGGUAGCCGGCCUGAGAGGGUGACCGGCCACAUUGGGACUGAGAUACGGCACAGACUCCUACGGGAGGCAGCAGUGGGGAAUAUUGCACAAUGGGCGGAAGCCUGAUGCAGCAACGCCGCGUGCGGGAUGACGGCCUUCGGGUUGUAAACCGCUUUCGCCUGUGACGAAGCGUGAGUGACGGUAAUGGGUAAAGAAGCACCGGCUAACUACGUG